GUAGGCUACCACGCGUUUUUACCAGCGUUUUCGAGCGGUUUGGUUGGACACAUGUGGCGUUAUUGCUUGACAAAUCUGAUCUCUUUUCACUAACAGUUGGUAAAAGUUUGGAAUGGGGCUUGAGGAAAGAGGGAGUGCUGAAAGCUGUUCGGGAAUUAGACGGUAACGAGCGUGAGUCGUGUGAAGCCCUACUGCGGGAUGUCAGUAUGUACGCACGAGUUGUUAUACUGAGUGUUCGAGGCUCGCUGGUCCGUGAGUUCCUGUUGGCCGCCCACUCCCUAGGGAUGACGAGAGGGGAAUGGGCUUUUCUUGACGUUGAGAUA